GAGUUUGAUCCUGGCUCAGAUUGAACGCUAGCGGCAGGCCUAACACAUGCAAGUCGAGCGGAUGACGGGAGCUUGCUCCUUGAUUCAGCGGCGGACGGGUGAGUAAUGCCUAGGAAUCUGCCUGGUAGUGGGGGACAACGUUUCGAAAGGAACGCUAAUACCGCAUACGUCCUACGGGAGAAAGCAGGGGACCUUCGGGCCUUGCGCUAUCAGAUGAGCCUAGGUCGGAUUAGCUAGUUGGUGGGGUAAUGGCUCACCAAGGCGACGAUCCGUAACUGGUCUGAGAGGAUGAUCAGUCACACUGGAACUGAGACACGGUCCAGACUCCUACGGGAGGCAGCAGUGGGGAAUAUUGGACAAUGGGCGAAAGCCUGAUCCAGCCAUGCCGCGUGUGUGAAGAAGGUCUUCGGAUUGUAAAGCACUUUAAGUUGGGAGGAAGGGCAGUAAGUUAAUACCUUGCUGUUUUGACGUUACCGACAGAAUAAGCACCGGCUAACUCUGUGCCAGCCGCCG
rnacentral:rRNA from 1 species